AACGAACGCUGGCGGCAUGCCUAACACAUGCAAGUCGAACGAUUGCCUUCGGGUGCUAGUGGCGCACGGGUGCGUAACGCGUGGGAAUCUGCCCUUAGGUUCGGAAUAACAGCUGGAAACGGCUGCUAAUACCGGAUGAUAUCGCGAGAUCAAAGAUUUAUCGCCUGAGGAUGAGCCCGCGUUGGAUUAGGUAGUUGGUGGGGUAAAGGCCUACCAAGCCGACGAUCCAUAGCUGGUCUGAGAGGAUGAUCAGCCACACUGGGACUGAGACACGGCCCAGACUACUACGGGAGGCAGCAGUGGGGAAUAUUGGACAAUGGGCGCAAGCCUGAUCCAGCAAUGCCGCGUGAGUGAUGAAGGCCCUAGGGUUGUAAAGCUCUUUUACCCGGGAAGAUAAUGACUGUACCGGGAGAAUAAGCCCCGGCUAACUCCGUG
rnacentral:rRNA from 1 species